GGAAGAAGUUGGGGAAAUAAAAGUUUUCAAACUUCACCUUCCUGUUAACUACCAGACCAAGUUGGAGCUUGUUUUAUUAUAGAAAUUAAGCUGCCAGAACGGUAGGGCAAAGAUGUUUUUGUUGAAAAGCCCAAUACCCGUCAAAGAAGCCAAGCAAAUGCCCCUGGUAUCCAGAGUUAAAAAUGUUCAGAUAUGGGAAGAUGGCUCUGCUAGGAUUCUGACUCUUAAGAGUACUGACUUCUGGUGGCCGGCCUGGUGGCUCAGUCAGUUAGAGCUCCAUGCUUCUAACUCCGAAGGCUGCCAGUUUGAUUCCCACAUGGGCC